UUUAUAAGUAAAUUGAUUGAUGAUUGAGUAUAAGUAGUAUAGAAAUAAAUGUAGAUUGAGUACUGUAAAGGAAGUUUAUUAAUUUUAUAUUAGUAGAAUUUAAAUUUCGUACCUUUUGUAUAAUGGGUUGAUGAUUGUGUACAUUUUAUAGUGUUAUCUCGAAGUAGGAGGAUUUACUUAAUAAGAAUAUGUUAACGUUGUAUAGUUAUGUAGUGAUUAUUAAGUGGUAGUGAAAUGUUUAUCGAUUUCUAUGAUAGCUAGUUUGUUAGUGUAAAAUAUUUAAGUGUUGUGAUAUUAAUAUAGUUGGGCUAUUUAAUAUUAGCUUGUUGCAUGAGGGAUAAGCUUCAUGUAAAUUUAUAGAAUUGUUGUGUGAAAAUAUAAUUUAAGUAGAAUUAAUAAUGUUUUUCUUUAAAAGUAGUUUAAAUUUUGUUAUAGCGUUUAGAUUUCAGGGUUAGUAACUAAUAAAUAUUUAAAAAUUAUUUAUAGGUAUUUAUAAUGUUAAUAUGAGUAUUAAAUAUUAUUUUAUUAGGUUUGGUGUUAUUGUAAGUGUAGGUAGUUUAUAUUAUUAUGUAAUAAGUAAAUAGAGUAAAGGAAUUCGGCAAAUAUCAAUCUCGCCUGUUUAUCAAAAACAUGUCUCUUUGUUUAUUGUGUAUAAAGAGUCGGGCCUGCUCGGUGAUUAAUUUUUAACAGCUGCGGUAUUUUAACUGUACUAAGGUAGCAUAAUAAUUUGCCUUAUAAUUUGAGGCUGGAAUGAAUGGUUUGACGAAGGUUGACCUGUCUCUACUUUAUUUUUUAGAAUUUAAUUUCUAAAGUGAAAAAGCUUGGAUUUUUUAAAGGGACGAGAAGACCCUAUUGAGCUUAUAAUUUUAUUUUUAUUUUUAGUAUUAGUAAAUAAGGUAUAAAUUUUAAUUGGGGUGAUUGAGGAAUAAAAGUGUAGUAACUUCCUUAUUUUUAAUGUUGUUAGGUAAAGUAACCAAUGUAGUAUUGCUUAUAAUAUAGUUACCAUAGGGAUAACAGCGUAAUUUAUUUAGAGAGUUCCUAUUGAAAAAUGAGAUUGCGACCUCGAUGUUGGAUUAAAGUAACCUUAAGGUGCAGAAGCUUUAGAAGGUAAAUCUGUUCGAUUUUUAAAACUUUACAUGAUCUGAGUUCAGACCGGCGUGAGCCAGGUUGGUUUCUAUCUUUUAAAAUUGAGUAUUACUUCUUUUAGUACGAGAGGACCAGGGAAAGUUAAUAAUUUGUUUAUUAUAAUACA
rnacentral:rRNA from 1 species